AGGUCUAGUGAGGAGUUGACGCAGCGGACAGAAUGGAGCAAGCAGCUCAUGGCGCCGUCAAGGUCGGCCGUCUCCCACGAGUCCGGCGGCUGGCGGCGGUGGAGGUGGUGGGAGAACAGGUGAAGUGUGCGGCGACGUGACGGCUUUGCUCGGAGUGCUGUGGCGUUUGGUUGGC